rnacentral:rRNA from 1 species
GACGGACAGAUGGGAGCUUGCUCCCUGAUGUUAGCGGCGGACGGGUGAGUAACACGUGGGUAACCUGCCUGUAAGACUGGGAUAACUCCGGGAAACCGGGGCUAAUACCGGAUGCUUGUUUGAACCGCAUGGUUCAAACAUAAAAGGUGGCUUCGGCUACCACUUACAGAUGGACCCGCGGCGCAUUAGCUAGUUGGUGAGGUAAUGGCUCACCAAGGCAACGAUGCGUAGCCGACCUGAGAGGGUGAUCGGCCACACUGGGACUGAGACACGGCCCAGACUCCUACGGGAGGCAGCAGUAGGGAAUCUUCCGCAAUGGACGAAAGUCUGACGGAGCAACGCCGCGUGAGUGAUGAAGGUUUUCGGAUCGUAAAGCUCUGUUGUUAGGGAAGAACAAGUACCGUUCGAAUAGGGCGGUACCUUGACGGUACCUAACCAGAAAGCCACGGCUAACUACGUGCCAGCAGCCGCGGUAAUACGUAGGUGGCAAGCGUUGUCCGGAAUUAUUGGGCGUAAAGGGCUCGCAGGCGGUU